rnacentral:rRNA from 1 species
AGAGUUUGAUCCUGGCUCAGGAUGAACGCUAGCGGCAGGCCUAAUACAUGCAAGUCGAACGAGAUUGAGGAGCUUGCUCUUCAUGAAAGUGGCGCACGGGUGCGUAACGCGUAUGCAACCUACCUUAAUCAGGGGGAUAGCCUCUCGAAAGAGAGAUUAACACCGCAUAAAAUCACAAGCUGGCAUCAGCAAAUGAUCAAAUAUUUAUAGGAUUAAGAUGGGCAUGCGUGACAUUAGUUUGUUGGUGAGGUAACGGCUCACCAAGACUACGAUGUCUAGGGGAUCUGAGAGGAUGACCCCCCACACUGGUACUGAGACACGGACCAGACUCCUACGGGAGGCAGCAGUAAGGAAUAUUGGUCAAUGGGGGCAACCCUGAACCAGCCAUGCCGCGUGCAGGAAGACGGCCCUACGGGUUGUAAACUGCUUUUAUACGGGAAUAAACCCCUUUACGUGUAAAGGGUUGAAUGUACUGUAAGAAUAAGGAUCGGCUAACUCCGUGCCAGCAGCCGCGGUAAUACGGAGGAUCCAAGCGUUAUCCGGAUUUAUUGGGUUUAAAGGGUGCGUAGGCGGCCUAUUAAGUCAGGGGUGAAAGACGGUGGCUCAACCAUCGCAGUGCCUUUGAUACUGAUAGGCUUGAUUACGCUUGAGGUAGGCGGAAUGUGACAAGUAGCGGUGAAAUGCAUAGAUAUGUCACAGAACACCAAUUGCGAAGGCAGCUUACUAAGGUGUUAAUGACGCUGAGGCACGAAAGCGUGGGGAUCAAACAGGAUUAGAUACCCUGGUAGUCG